rnacentral:rRNA from 1 species
GCGUUAAUCGGAAUUACUGGGCGUAAAGCGCACGCAGGCGGUCUGUUAAGCUAGAUGUGAAAGCCCCGCGCUCAACGUGGGAGGGUCAUUUAGAACUGGCAGACUAGAGUCUUGGAGAGGGGAGUGGAAUUCCAGGUGUAGCGGUGAAAUGCGUAGAGAUCUGGAGGAACAUCAAUGGCGAAGGCAACUCCCUGGCCAAAGACUGACGCUCAUGUGCGAAAGUGUGGGUAGCGAACAGGAUUAGAUACCCUGGUAGUCCACACCGUAAACGCUGUCUACUAGCUGUUUGUGGAUUUAAUCCGUGAGUAGCGAAGCUAACGCGAUAAGUAGACCGCCUGGGGAGUACGGCCGCAAAGUUAAAACUCAAAUGAAUUGACGGGGGCCCGCACAAGCGGUGGAGCAUGUGGUUUAAUUCGAUGAUACGCGAGGAACCUUACCAGGGCUUAAAUGUAGUAUGACCGGUCUGGAAACAGGCCUUCCCUUCGGGGCAGAUUACAAGGUGCUGCAUGGUU